GAUGCCGGGUUUAAUCCCUACCAGGUAAGAUAAGCAUUAGUUUGUGUUUGUAACCCAGCUAAUGCUCCUGCUAUAUUCAGUGUGAACAGAUAAUAUACAGCAUUUACUCACGUUGAUCAUUUUGUGGAAUCAUGAAAUGACGGACUUUUGGGGUUGCUGAAUGGCUUAUAAAUAUUGCUCAUACGAUUAACAAUUAGAUGAAGUGUAUUUACUGUGACAACUGGUUUGGUCAUUACACAUGUUUCAAAGAAACUAACAGGUUUACUUAUUGCAGUCUGGGAAUCAAUCUGGUAUG
rnacentral:misc_RNA from 1 species